ACACCUCAACUCUCAUGGUCUGCCAUGAUGAGCUUGGACUUUGGGGGUCUUGCUGGCUUGCAGUCAGCUCCUCUCAAAUGAAUCAGCUUGCCAGUGUUUGGUGGCAUCACAGGUGUGAUAACUAUCUACGCUUGUGGUUUUCUACCAGGUAGCCUUCAGUGAUGGAGGUUCGCUGGAGCUCAUAAAUGUCUCUCCUCAGCGAAGACGGUUUCGUGAAC
rnacentral:misc_RNA from 1 species